AAAUGGAAUCAUAGCCUUAAUGGUUCACAUGCAUACACUAACUAAAUAUAGAAGUACAAGUAAUGGUGAGAAUUAAACAAGAAAGAUAGGUAGGAAGGUAGAUAGGUAGGUACGUAGGUAGAUAGAUAGGUGGGUAAAUAAAGAGAGAUAGGAACGUAGGUAGAUAGGUAGGUAAAUAGAGAGAGAUAGGUAGGUAGGUAGAUAGGUAGGUAAAUAAAAAGAGAUAGGAACGUAGGUAGGUAGAUAGGUAGGUAAAUAAAGAGAGAUAGGAACGUAGGUAGAUAGGUAGGUAAAUAAAGAGAGAUAGGAACGUAGGUACGUAGAUAGGUAGGUAAAUAGAGAGAGAUAGGUACGUAGGUAGGUAGAUAGGUAGGUAAAUAAAGAGAGAUAGGUACGUAGGUAGGUAGAUAAGUAGGUAAAUAGAGACAGAUAGGAACGUAGGUAGGUAGAUAGGUAGGUAAAUAGAGAGAGAUAGGAACGUAGGUAGGUAGAUAGGUAGGUAAAUAGAGAGAGAUAGGUAGGUAGGUAGAUAGGUAGGUAAAUAGAGAGAGAUAGGUACGUACGUAGGUAGAUAGGUAGGUAAAUAGAGAGAGAUAGGAACGUAGGUAGGUAGAUAGGUAGGUAAAUAAAGAGAGAUAGGAACGUACGUAGGUAGAUAGGUAGGUAAAUAAAGAGAGAUAGGUAGGUAGGUAGGUAGAUAGGUAGGUAAAUAAAGAGAGAUAGGUAUGUAGGUAGGUAGAUAGGUAGGUAGGUAUGUAGAUAGAUAGAUAGAUAGAUAGAUAGAUAGAUAGAUAGAUAGAUAGAUAGAUAGAUAGAUAGAUAGAUAGAUAGAUAGAUAGAUAGAUAAAUAGGGAGGGAGGGAGGUACAUAAAAUGAUAAAUAAAUAGAUCUAUAGGUUGGUAGGCAGAUAAAGAGAGAGAGAGAGAGAUUCAUACAUACACACAUAUAUGCAUACUUAAUACAAGAAAAAACAUCAUCAUAUCAUUUAACAUAUACACA